rnacentral:tRNA from 1 species
GAGUGUAUAGCUCAGUGGUAGAGUAUGUGCUCAGCAUGCAUGAGGUCCUGGGUUCAAUCCCCGGUAAACCA